AGUGAACGCUGGCGGUAGGCCUAACACAUGCAAGUCGAACGGCAGCACAGUAAGAGCUUGCUCUUACGGGUGGCGAGUGGCGGACGGGUGAGGAAUACAUCGGAAUCUACUUUUUCGUGGGGGAUAACGUAGGGAAACUUACGCUAAUACCGCAUACGACCUACGGGUGAAAGCAGGGGAUCUUCGGACCUUGCGCGAUUGAAUGAGCCGAUGUCGGAUUAGCUAGUUGGCGGGGUAAAGGCCCACCAAGGCGACGAUCCGUAGCUGGUCUGAGAGGAUGAUCAGCCACACUGGAACUGAGACACGGUCCAGACUCCUACGGGAGGCAGCAGUGGGGAAUAUUGGACAAAGGGCGCAAGCCUGAUCCAGCCAUACCGCGUGGGUGAAGAAGGCCUUCGGGUUGUAAAGCCCUUUUGUUGGGAAAGAAAAGCAGCAGGUUAAUACCCCGCUGUUCUGACGGUACCAAAAGAAUAAGCACCGGCUAACUUCGUG
rnacentral:rRNA from 1 species